rnacentral:rRNA from 1 species
CCCUUAGAUGUUCUGGGCCGCACGCGCGCUACACUGACGAAUGCAACGAGCUUAUAACCUUGGCCGAAAGGUCUGGGUAAUCUCCAAAUUUCGUCGUGAUGGGGAUAGAUUAUUGCAAUUAUUAAUCUUCAACGAGGAAUGCCUAGUAAGCGCAAGUCAUAAGCUUGCGUUGAUUACGUCCCUGCCCUUUGUACACACCGCCCGUCGCUCCUACCGAUUGAAUGGUCCGGUGAAGCGUUCGGACCGUGGCCUUUGGACGGUUCGCCGUCUGUUGGCUGCGGGAAGUUCGUUAAACCUUAUCAUUUAGAGGAAGGAGAAGUCGUAACA